rnacentral:lncRNA from 1 species
UUAUUUCUGAAUAGAAAAUCAUUUGCAAGCAAUUGUUUUCAUUAUUCGUACAAAUUAUGAAAGACGAGGAAAUUAGAUAAUGCAACGAAAGUACUAAAAUCACAGGGAAUUACUGAUGCAUAAUAAGGAUUAGUGAUAAUCUAGACAGAUCCCAGAGACAUACAUUCACUUUUUUAUUUUUUUUAUUUUAUAAUCUAGACAUUCAUGCACCUAUAUGCACUAACUGAAAUGGUCCAAUGACAAGUACAACAAACCCAACAAUCACUGCAGUCAUCGUUGGUAGUACAACUUCUCCAACAAGUCGCAAGUUGUGGAAGUAAUCUGCUCUUGAGUCCAGACAGAUCAUGAUCAAUAUCUAGUGCAGCUGUAGCUUGUGUCUUUGAGAACCACGACAUAUUAACUGAAAUAUUUCACAAUCACAACUAUUAAAAUCAAAUUAUAAUUGAUAUAACAUAAAAAAAUACAUAGCUAAAUGUCAUGUAUAUUCAUGUCUACAUUUAAAAUAUGCCUAUUUAUACACAUAGAGAGAGAGAAAGUUGUAUAAUAUAGUGAUAAAGAAAAAUAAAUACUCACUAUUGGUUGCCAUGAGAAGAAUGGUGACAAUAGAACAAAGUUUAAGCAACGACAUAUUAUGAAAUUGUAAUUCACA